GACGAACGCUGGCGGCGUGCUUAACACAUGCAAGUCGAACGGAAAGGCCCUGCUUUUGUGGGGUGCUCGAGUGGCGAACGGGUGAGUAACACGGGAGUAACCUGCCCUUGACUUUGGGAUAACUUCAGGAAACUGGGGCUAAUACCGGAUAGGAGCUCCUGCUGCAUGGUGGGGGUGGGAAAGUUUCGGCGGUUGGGGAUGGACUCGCGGCUUAUCAGCUUGUUGGUGGGGUAGUGGCUUACCAAGGCUUUGACGGGUAGCCGGCCUGAGAGGGUGACCGGCCACAUUGGGACUGAGAUACGGCCCAGACUCCUACGGGAGGCAGCAGUGGGGAAUAUUGCACAAUGGGCGGAAGCCUGAUGCAGCAACGCCGCGUGCGGGAUGACGGCCUUCGGGUUGUAAACCGCUUUCGCCUGUGACGAAGCGUGAGUGACGGUAAUGGGUAAAGAAGCACCGGCUAACUACGUG
rnacentral:rRNA from 1 species